UCCCUGGUGGCUCAGAUGGUAAAGAAUCUGCCUGCAGCGCAGGAGACCCAGGUUUGAUUCCUGGGUCAGAGAA
rfam:Ovis aries breed Texel chromosome 9, whole genome shotgun sequence.